AAGGGUAAUGAUAAGUUUAAUUCAUCUAAGGGCUCAUUUGGUUGCUUGAAUUUGUAAAAAAUGUUUUUGAAUAACAAUGAUGUUUAUUUAAUGCAUCAUAUGGCUCGAUAAAACUAAAUAAUAACAUUGACUUAUAAUUUCACAACUCCAUCAAAAUAAUUGUUACUUUAUUACUUAAAAUACACAUCGAAUCAGAUAUGAUCCAUGGUUGAAUUAAUGACAUGUGCCUCAUGUCAUCAAGUUGUUAAAAGUGUGUGGCUUGAAUCCUUGUAAAGUUGAGUCAUUUUGACAGGUUCAAAGUUCAAUUGUAAAUGAUACCGGAACUUAGCACUUCCGGCCAAAAACCCACCGGCGAUACUUGCACGAACAGAACCUUCAAACCACCACCUGGAAUUAAAAGCAAUCCCAGGAUAUAGAUAGAGUUUCAUGAACUCUAAAACACCUUUCGGCUCUUUAUUAAUCCAUCCAAAAGCAAAAGUCCCUUCCAAGCCGGGCAAAGCUCAAAUAUAUACAAGUAUAUGCUACAUGCUUGGCUAGAAGACAGAAAACAUUACCAAAGUAAUACAGGACGGUAAAACAAAACAAUAAUUUUUGCACAUGCUCCUGCGUCAUUCUCCCAGGGUUGGAAGAGCUUCGUUCUCAAAAUGUGGAGUCAAAUCGGCUACGUUGAACACAACCGAAAUGUGGUAGUCUCCAGGUAAAUCUAUCAAGUAAGCGUUAUCAUUGAUCUUCUUAACUACACGAAAUGGACCAUCAACUCGGGGUUUUAGUUUGCCACAAACUCAUGGUGGAAAACGUUCUUUUCUUAAUCUGAUCCACACCAAGUCUCCUGCUUUAUAUUCAACCUUUUUCCUGUGUUUGUUGGCUUGGACGUGAUACCGCUCAUUAUGUUUAAUGAUUACUUCUUGGACCUGUUGAUGCAGCUUUUGAAUUUCCUUACUCCUGUGUUCGCUAUCAGGAUUGUAAGUGGUCUGAUGCACUUCAUGAAUCAAAUCCAACGGAGUUAGGGGGUUUCGCCCAUACACAAUUUCAAAAGGCUUCGUCUGAUAGAUUGGUUCACGGAAUGGUUGAAAGCAAACUCAAUUUGAUUGACCUGAAUUGCAGACGGGUACCCAAUUUUCCCCACAAAGUCUUCCAAAAAUAGCUCAUAAAUUUUACAUCUCUGUCGGACGUAUUAGUCAUCGGAAUGCCAUGUAAUCUGACUAUUUCCCUGAAAUAUAAAUCAGCAAUGCAACACAAAGUCGAUGCUCACAUCUUUCCAAGGAGCUUUUGGAACGGGCAAUGUAGAGUAGAGACAUGCAUUAGUGCCUUGGGUUUUCGCUAAACGGCACACUCGACAUCCCCGAACGUAUCUCCCAACAUCCCGUGACAUUAACGACCAAUAGAACUUUUCUUGAAUUAAAUUCAAGGUUUUGUCUUCCGAAAUGCCCCAUCAAACCAUCAUCACGGCAUUCGGUAAUAAUGGCUAGCUGGUUUGAGCCUCUUGGUAUACAAAGACAAUGGCCAUAGAACAAGUAUCCCUCCUUAAUAUGAAAAAGUUUGUGAGGUUGAGCCGGACAUUUAUUCAAAAUCAAAUGGAAAUCUCCAUCCGUUGGGUACUUGCUCUUGAAAGUUUCCAUUCCCAAAACUUUAGUCUGAAUUAUUUGAAGCAGCAGGUGGCAACGGCUCAAAGCAUCCGCGGCUUGGUUUAAAUUGCCCUGCCUUAUGUUUUAACACAAAAUUGAAAGCCGCUAAGAAUUCAGACCAUGUCGCAUGCCUACCUUUCAAUUUUUUUUUACUAUUUAGGAAACGGAGAGCUUCAGUGGUCGGUGUAUAAUAUGAAAUCUUUGGCCAACAAAUAGUGAUUCCAAUGGUGUAAAGCUCUGGCUAUGGAGUAAAAUUCUUUGUUGCACGUAGAAUAUUUUUUGCUGAGCUUCAUUUAGCUUAUCACUGAAGAAGGCGAUGGGAUGUCCACAGCGCCUAUCCCAUGGUGGAGGCAUCACAUUCUACCUCGAACACCUUGUUGAAAUCUGGUAAACUUAAGACCAGGGCUGCCGUCAUAGUUUUCUUCAGAAGUUCAAAUCUAUUUAAAGCACCUUGUCCAGAAAAAUGGUUCAAAUUUCAAGAUUUCAGUAAGUGGAGCUGCUAUAGAAUUAAAACUUCGGAUGAAUCUUCGGUAAAAGGAGGCAAGUCCAUGGAAUCUCCUGACCUCAGUGAAUGAUUGGGGAAUUGGCCGGCCAAUUCACAAUCGCCUCAAUCUUCCUUGGAUCCGCUUCAAUCUGCUGCUAUAGUUGGUUCAUGCUCAUCUGGACUGAGCCUGUAAGGUGGUCGGUUUGGAACAUAGCUCCCGAUAUUAGCUCAAUUUCAUGCUAAAUCUCUCGUACGGGGGCAAGCCUGCUGGAAUUUCUUCAGGAAAAACAUCUCAGAAUUCUUGUAAAAGUUCAUGGAUACUUGGGUGACAAUUAUCCACAGAUUGCGUUAUAUCCUUUAACACUAAAAUAUAGCUUGUGGUGGCCUCUUGCAAGGCCUUACGGCAUUGAGAGUAAUUGAUCAACAAAUCUUCUGGGGAUUUGGGCAUGUGAUCUUCUUCUAAUGAAACUAACACCAUUGGACAACCAUCAUAGCUAAUAGUGUAUGUAUUCUUGGCGCCGUCAUGAAUAGUUUGACGAUUGUAUUGCCAUGGCCUCCCUAAAAGUAAGUGGCAGGCGUCCAUCGGUAUGAUAUCACACCAAAUUUGUUCUCAGUAUUUACCUAUAGAGAAAUUCAUCAAACACCGUUUAGAAACCUUGACCACAUUUUCUUUUUGAAUCCACGACAACUUAUAAGGAA